rnacentral:rRNA from 1 species
UACGAAGGGGGCUAGCGUUGUUCGGAAUUACUGGGCGUAAAGCGCACGUAGGUGGCGACGUAAGUCGGGUGUGAAAGCCCCGGGCUCAACCUGGGAAUUGCAUUCGAGACUGCAUUGCUGGAGUACGGAAGAGGAGGGCGGAAUUCCCGGUGUAGCGGUGAAAUGCGUAGAUAUCGGGAGGAACAUCAGUGGCGAAGGCGGCCCUCUGGUCCAGUACUGACACUCAAGUGCGAAAGCGUGGGGAGCAAACAGG